rnacentral:lncRNA from 1 species
GGGACUUCUUUUCGGAUUAACUGUGAGAGCAAAGCAGACAAGAUGUAGGCAGGGGACUGAUAGUUCUGGUGCCAGAAUCCACCACUGGAAGAUUUCUAACAUAGAAUAGUUGAUGAAUUUAGGAUGAUAGAGUCCGUGCCCAGCGAUUGUGUGAUCUGUUGAUUCUAAACUAAGAUUUUCGGGUGUAUUCCAUUCUGCAACUGUUCAACUGAGCGCCAGUGAAAGAUUUUAAACGUGCUUUAACAUCUACACUUCAUUCUGCAUGAGGAUCAUAACGAUCAUUUCUCGGCUUCCCUGGAGCAUUAUCACCAUUAAGGCUCCACCCACUCUAUGGAAGAAGAGACUGGGGUAAAAUGUAAGGUUCACACAGGAGCGACAGAAGCAUAGAAGCAAAGCCUUCUCAACACAUCCUUUCCUCUUUACCCCAACAAACCCACUCAGUUUUGCCUUUGUUCACUUCUUCCAGAUGUUUUUGCAUCUGUAGUAAUCUAUUCCCUGUUGCUAUGGGAAUAAUAUACCUGACAGAGGCAUCUUGAGGCAGAAAAAGGUUUAUUUUGGUUCAUGGUUCCAUGGAGCAGAGUCCAUCAUACCAAUGAAGGCAUACAGCAGAAGCAUAAUAGCAAGGCAUACAGCAGAUGCAUAAUAGCAGCUUGUCAGAUUGCAUCAGCCAUAAGGAAGAAGCCUCAGUGAUAAAUUUCCUCCACUAAAGAACCCUUCUGAAAGUUUCUAUAAUUUUCCCAAACUACCAACUGGAACCAAGUGUUCAAAUCCAUAUGCCUCUGGAAGACAUCUCAUAUUCAAAGCACAAUGAUGUUGAACAACCCAGUAUGUCUCCUUAUGUCACUAAAGCUGCCUUGAUGACGUCAGCUUGCUUCCUAUUCAGUGAACAAAAUGAAUAUUAUCUACUCUAGUCACAGCUCCAGCCUGGUGUUCUGCCUCUAAACUUCCUCAAGUUGUUCAAGUUUGGGUAUAUCUCUAAUUCAGCGUCUGUGAGAGUGCCAUGAAAUGCACACCACUAGGUGACGUCAUACCUCAUUAUGCCUUUGCAUCCUAAACCACUGCCAGGAUAGCCAGUGCUGUUCUGUGUGCACGGAAGCCAUCUUAACACAAAAAGGAAACUGUAAAAGGUCUUCCCCUUACAUGUCCUCUUUUGCUUGCUAUCAUGGAAGUGAUAUUUUCUGAUCAUAACUCUCAAGGUCCACCUUAUCCUAAAACCUCUGCAUUGUUUGAGGAGUCACCAUAGAGUUUCUGGUUUUUACUUUAAACCUCGCAUUCUCUUUAUGUAAUAUGCUGGAUAAUUUCACAGGCAUCAGGAUUUGAAUCCCCUUCUACCAAGUCUCAUGGGUGGCUGCCCUUCACUGGGCAAGCAUAGGGAUUCAUUAAAUAUUCAUCGAAAGAUUUUUUUUUUAUUAACUUGUUGUGGCUUUCCCCACACUUUGGAUCCAACUCAAAUACCAGUUAAUACAUAAUCCUUUUUUU